AGAGUUUGAUCCUGGCUCAGAACGAACGCUGGCGGCGUGCUUAACGCAUGCAAGUCGAGUGCGCGUGCCGUAGCAAUACGGCAUGGCGCACGGCGCACGGGUGCGUAACACGUGGGUAACCUGCCCUUUGAUGGGGAAUAACCCCGGGAAACCGGGGCUAAUUCCGCAUAAGAUCCGCAAGGAUGAAAGCCGUAAGGCGUCGAAGGAGGGGCCCGCGCACGAUUAGCUAGUUGGUAGGGUAACGGCCUACCAAGGCUAUGAUCGUUAGCUGGUCUGAGAGGAUGGCCAGCCACACUGGAACUGAGACACGGUCCAGACUCCUACGGGAGGCAGCAGUGGGGAAUCUUGCACAAUGGGCGAAAGCCUGAUGCAGCGACGCCGCGUGGGGGAUGAAGCUUCUCGGAGUGUAAACCCCUUUCGACCCGGACGAAUACCUCGCAAGAGGGGUGACGGUACGGGUAUAAGAAGCCCCGGCUAACUACGUGCCAGCAGCCGCGGUAAGACGUAGGGGGCCAGCGUUGUUCGGAAUUACUGGGUGUAAAGGGUCAGUAGGCGGUGUGGCAAGUCGGGAGUGAAAUCUAUGGGCUCAACUCAUAGGCUGCUUCCGAAACUGCUGUGCUUGAGUGUGGGAGAGGCGCGUGGAAUUGCAGGUGUAGCGGUGAAAUGCGUAGAUAUCUGCAGGAACACCCGUGGCGAAAGCGGCGUGCUGGACCACAACUGACGCUGAAUGACGAAAGCUAGGGGAGCAAACAGGAUUAGAUACCCUGGUAGUCCUAGCCCUAAACGAUCACGACUUGGGGUGCCGCACGUUCGUGCGUCGUCCCGGAGCUAACGCGUUAAGUCCUGCACCUGGGGAGUACGUCGCAAGACUGAAACUCAAAGGAAUUGACGGGGCCCGCACAAGCGGUGGAACAUGGUGGUUCAAUUCGACGCUACGCCGAGGGGACUUACCUGGGCUCG
rnacentral:rRNA from 1 species